rnacentral:lncRNA from 1 species
GCUGCAGUGGCUUCCUUGAGGAAGGAAGGCCACUCCCCACAGAGCGGGGCCCAUGUGCUAAUCAUCAGGGCAGGCCUGACUCCUCACCUGAGGUGUGAACGAGCCUGGUGUUGGGACUGGAAUGAAGCACUUUAAUGGACAAGUUGGAAUCUGUUUGUGAGCAGCAAAUUGCCCCCGUCCCUGGGGCCAUUUUCCACCAUAAAUCUCAACUAUUCGACUCUGCAGAUCCCCAGCCCUGUAGCCAUGACCAGGGCAACAGGAAGGUUGUGGGAGCUCUAACAGGGCCUGGCCCCCAACAGAGGUUACAGCCCUUGCUCACCUCCCGCCCUCCUCCCCCACCAUGCUUGGCACUGAGGGUCCUGCCUUCCUUCUUGAAAGCCUGCUCUGGUCUUCCAAGCCGUGCAUGCUCCUGGUGAUCCUUGGACCACCAAGCAGGCUGUUUCCUGUCUUCUGGCUGCUCGUUCUGUUUCUCCCACCACGUCUGGUCAAGGGUCCCUCUCCUGGGGGUGUCAUUUGUGGCCACAGCCUCAGGGGUCACACUAUGUGUAUGACUUCAGAGCUGCGUCUGUCUCU